GAUGAAGAACGUAGCGAAAUGCGAUAAGUAAUGUGAAUUGCAGAAUUCAGUGAAUCAUCGAAUCUUUGAACGCACAUUGCGCCCUCUGGUAUUCCAGGGGGCAUGCCUGUUCGAGCGUCAUUAUAACCACUCAAGCUCUCGCUUGGUAUUGGGGCUCGCGGUUCCGCGGCCCCUAAAAUCAGUGGCGGUGCCUGUCGGCUCUACGCGUAGUAAUACUCCUCGCGAUUGAGUCCGGUAGGUCUACUUGCCAGCAACCCCCAAUUUUUACAGGUUGACCUCGGAUCAGGUAGGGAUACCCGCUGAACUUAAGCAUAUCAAUAAGCGGAGGA
rnacentral:misc_RNA from 1 species